CGCUGGAAAGCAGGCGCGCCUCUCACGAGGCCGUCUCGCCGAAGGAGCAAGGGCGCGAUCGCGUUCCGAAUCUCUCAGGCCACAGGACAGCG
rnacentral:ncRNA from 1 species